rnacentral:rRNA from 1 species
AUUCUACUGAUUAGAGUUUGAUCUUCGCUCAGGGAUGAAAGCUGGCGGCGUGCCUAAGACAUGCAAGUCGAGCGGGGCAGGUUUAUGCCUGUUCAGCGGCGGACGGGUGAGUAACGCGUGGGUGACCUACCCGGGAGAGGCGGACAACCUGGGGAAACUCAGGCUAAUCCGCCAUGUGGUCCUGUUCUGUGGGGCGGGACCAAAGGGUGGAUAGCCCGCUUCCGGAUGGGCCCGCGUCCCAUCAGCUGGUUGGUGGGGUAAAGGCCCACCAAAGCGACGACGGGUAGCCGGUCUGAGAGGAUGGCCGGCCACGGGGGCACUGAGACACGGGCCCCACUCCUACGGGAGGCAGCAGUUAGGAAUUUUCCGCAAUGGACGGAGGUCUGACGGAGCGACUCCGCUUGGAGGAGGAAGCCCUUCGGGGCGUAAACUCUUGAACUGGGGACGAAAGCCCUGAGUUAGGGGGAUCACCGUACCCACGUAAUAACACCCUNCCAAUUUCCUGCCAGAUAUUCUCAGUAAAUAACGCUAUUACNUCNAGCUCUUAACC